rnacentral:ribozyme from 1 species
GUCUUCAGAUAACGCUCCCAAGGGCCGCACAGCGGGGAGCUAAAGGUUUCGGAG